rnacentral:lncRNA from 1 species
CGAGGCUAGUCGAGUUCUAGGGGCUAGAACUCUUGAAGCAAGGUGAAGAAGGAGCGCUGUCUUUGGUUCAAUUUUUGUGUGAAUCAUCAUUGGAGGGCGAACACUUGGAUGCCUUAUGAAAAUUGGGAUUAGCACUAUAGGUAUUCUUUUUAUUCUAAUUUAUAUUUAUUAUAUUUUGAUUAUUAUAGUCAAGAGUUUCUGGGCAUUAGGGCU